rnacentral:rRNA from 1 species
GAUGAACGCUGGCGGCGUGCUUAACACAUGCAAGUCGAACGAUGAAGCCCAGCUUGCUGUGUGGAUUAGUGGCGAACGGGUGAGUAACACGUGAGUAACCUGCCCUUAACUCUGGGAUAAGCCUGGGAAACUGGGUCUAAUACCGGAUAGGAGCGUCCACCGCAUGGUGGGUGUUGGAAAGAUUUAUCGGUUUUGGAUGGACUCGCGGCCUAUCAGCUUGUUGGUGAGGUAAUGGCUCACCAAGGCGACGACGGGUAGCCGGCCUGAGAGGGUGACCGGCCACACUGGGACUGAGACACGGCCCAGACUCCUACGGGAGGCAGCAGUGGGGAAUAUUGCACAAUGGGCGCAAGCCUGAUGCAGCGACGCCGCGUGAGGGAUGACGGCCUUCGGGUUGUAAACCUCUUUCAGUAGGGAAGAAGCGAAAGUGACGGUACCUGCAGAAGAAGCACCGGCUAACUACGUG